GUCACGAUCAGAAGGUAGUGAGGCUGCGUAUAUUUGUACUUUAGCAGAGGUGCUGGUUCGAAUCCAGCUCGUGACA
rnacentral:tRNA from 4 species